CCUACGGGGGGCUGCAGUGAGGAAUAUUGGUCAAUGGCCGUAAGGCUGAACCAGCCAAGUCGCGUGAAGGAAGAAGGAUCUAUGGUUUGUAAACUUCUUUUAUAGGGGAAUAAAGGUAUCCACGUGUGGAUAUUUGCAUGUACCCUAUGAAUAAGCAUCGGCUAACUCCGUGCCAGCAGCCGCGGUAAUACGGAGGAUGCGAGCGUUAUCCGGAUUUAUUGGGUUUAAAGGGUGCGUAGGUUGUUUUUUAAGUCAGCGGUGAAAGUUUGUGGCUCAACCAUAAAAUUGCCGUUGAAACUGGCAGACUUGAGUGUGUUUGAGGUAGGCGGAAUGCGUGGUGUAGCGGUGAAAUGCAUAGAUAUCACGCAGAACUCCGAUUGCGAAGGCAGCUUACUAAGCCAUAACUGACACUGAAGCACGAAAGCGUGGGGAUCAAACAGGAUUAGAUACCCCAGUAGUC
rnacentral:rRNA from 1 species